rnacentral:rRNA from 1 species
UACGAAGGGGGCUAGCGUUGCUCGGAAUCACUGGGCGUAAAGGGUGCGUAGGCGGGUCUUUAAGUCAGGGGUGAAAUCCUGGAGCUCAACUCCAGAACUGCCUUUGAUACUGAGGAUCUUGAGUUCGGGAGAGGUGAGUGGAACUGCGAGUGUAGAGGUGAAAUUCGUAGAUAUUCGCAAGAACACCAGUGGCGGAAGGCGGAGCU